GUUAUUGUUUCCAUCCAGACCCUCUACUCUUCCCCAGAGCUCGCACCCGUUCUGUUUCAGGCUGUACUGAUAGCAAUGUCACAGAUCCUGAGCAAAGAGUAGAAAGAACAGAUGUAGCUGCUGUCGCUGCCCUGCACGCCGGUGGCAGGGCCUGACUCACUUCAUUCCUAGAACGGCUCCUGUGGGACGGCUGUGGAGGGGUUUAAGGGAGAGGAAGCAGGGCUGCUCCUGUGGGGUAGCUGUGGGCAGAGGUGGGCAUCUGACCCACAUCCCGCAGGGAGGUACAGACCUGACACCUUUGGGGCUGUGGCAUCUAAGAGUAAUCUCUUUUUUUUUCUGAUGGGGUGCAUGUAAUAGAUGAAAUGGGGAGUGAGGAGCAAAGCAGCAAAGCACUAGCAGCUCCCUGAGCCCCAUAAGGGUCAGACAGGCAGUUCUGAGUUCCUCAAGCAUGAAUUCAAGGCUCUGGAGGUUUUGGUGCAAAUUGGGUAAAAAGUUCCCCCUCAGAGAGACUCUGCAGUUUAGCUUCCCUGUUUCUGCACAACUUCUCAGUGCUGUUCUUGAUUAGCUUAAACCUACAGUGCCAUUUGAAGGGGUGGUCCCAUUUUAUCCCCCAUCUCUCAGACUGACACUCCCAUCAUGUUUAAGCCCCAGCCAAAUCUAGUCAUGGAAUGGACUGCAUGGCUGAAUAAAUGUUGAUACAUAGGUUGAACGGGGAAGUAAUGCUGUUGGCAACCUGGCCUCAGGUCAGCUUAAGCUGACUGUAAAACUGCACCCUUGGCUAGCAUAAUCUAAUUCCCAAGCGUAACUCUGUGUUAAACAUCCUGAUAUGCUAAGGCUUGCAGCAGAAGGCUUUGAUAUUACGUUGUCCUGGGGGAUCCUGAUGCACUGGAUGAGCUCAGUUUGGUCAGCAGGAAAGCUGACGAUAAAAUACUGUUUUCUACUUCUACCCAUAAGCAGCAGAGGGAGAAAUUCACUGUUCUGAUUCCUUUCCUAGAAAGACAAUCGUGGGCAUAAUACCAGUUUCUUUCUACUGUCUUCCAGAACUAACUCCUGUCACAACUGACAGUGCUUUCAGGGGAGGAGACUCAGUGCUGCAUGCCUUCUUUGGGGGCUGUGGGUGACACAAGAAAUCUCCAUCAACAGUUCCUAAUAGGAGACAGUAAGCAGUCAAUCAACACCAGCUGUUCUGGCCUCCUCUUGGAGUCCCUGCAGCAGAGAGGUGGCCAUCAGAAGUUGGCUCUGAGUUUCCCACUGCUAAUACAGCCUACAUUUCUCACGGAGCCUGAGCAUUUCUGAC
ensembl:lncRNA